CGUGUAGGCGGCUUGGCAAGUCGGAUGUGAAAUCCCGGGGCCCAACCCCGGAACUGCAUUCGAAACUGCCUGGCUAGAGUCCCGGAGAGGAAGGCGGAAUUCCCGGUGUAGAGGUGAAAUUCGUAGAUAUCGGGAGGAACACCAGUGGCGAAGGCGGCCUUCUGGACGGUGACUGACGCUGAGACGCGAAAGCGUGGGGAGCAAACAGGAUUAGAUACCCUGGUAGUCC
rnacentral:rRNA from 1 species